rnacentral:rRNA from 1 species
CCUACGGGGGGCAGCAGUGAGGAAUAUUGGUCAAUGGGCGCGAGCCUGAACCAGCCAAGUAGCAUGAAGGAUGACUGCCCUACGGGUUGUAAACUUCUUUUAUAAAGGAAUAAAGUGAGGCACGUGUGCCUUAUUGUGUGUACUUUAUGAAUAAGGAUCGGCUAACUCCGUGCCAGCAGCCGCGGUAAUACGGAGGAUCCGAGCGUUAUCCGGAUUUAUUGGGUUUAAAGGGAGCGUAGAUGGGUUGUUAAGUCAGUUGUGAAAGUUUGCGGCUCAACCGUAAAAUAGCAAUUGAUACUGGCAGUCUUGAGUACAGGUGAGGUAGGCGGAAUGCGUGGUGUAGCGGUGAAAUGCUUAGAUAUCGCGAAGAACUCCGAUUGCGAAGGCAGCUUACUAAACUGCCACUGACAUUGAUGCUCGAAAGUGUGGGUAUCAAACAGGAUUAGAUACCCGAGUAGUC